rnacentral:rRNA from 1 species
GCUUAACCGAGGAAUUGCAUCGGAAACUGUUUUUCUUGAGUGCAGAAGAGGAGAGUGGAACUCCAUGUGUAGCGGUGGAAUGCGUAGAUAUAUGGAAGAACACCAGUGGCGAAGGCGGCUCUCUGGUCUGCAACUGACGCUGAGGCUCGAAAGCAUGGGUAGCGAACAGGAUUAGAUACCCUGGUAGUCCAUGCCGUAAACGAUGAGUGCUAAGUGUUGGGAGGUUUCCGCCUCUCAGUGCUGCAGCUAACGCAUUAAGCACUCCGCCUGGGGAGUACGACCGCAAGGUUGAAACUCAAAGGAAUUGACGGGGGCCCGCACAAGCGGUGGAGCAUGCGGUUUAAUUCGAAGCAACGCGAAGAACCUUACCAGGUCUUGACAUCUAGUGCCAUCCUAAGAGAUUAGGAGUUCCCUUCGGGGACGCUAAGACAGGUGGUGCAUGGCUGUCGUCAGCUCGUGUCGUGAGAUGUUGGGUUAAGUCCCGCAACGAGCGCAACCCUUAUUAUUAGUUGCCAGCAUUAAGUUGGGCACUCUAAUGAGACUGCCGGUGACAAACCGGAGGAAGGCGGGGAUGACGUCAAGUCAUCAUGCCCCUUAUGACCUGGGCUACACACGUGCUACAAUGGGCAGUACAACG